UUGUGUCUCAGUCUGUCCUCGGAGACAUCGCGUCCAAAUGACACAGUUAGAAAACAGGCCGAACCAUAGAGUGGCAGUUCUUAUCUUCAUUCAACACGUCCGUAUUAAUGUAACUGUCUCUGGGUUACUAUGAGACUGACAGAAACUUCAAAACGCGAGGAUUCCCAAGCGAGUUCCGGAUUCAGUGGGAGUUUCUUGUUUCGCUGCGGAUUUCUCAUCGGGUUUCUGGACGUUUAUCCACCGGGGACACCGGAUAUGUUGACAUCCGCUGAAAGGGUUUGAAACGGCUCCAGGUGAAGACCUCCUCACGUCGAAGGGCAACAGGGCGAGCGGGGUUAUGCUGGCGUUGACGAAGAUGAGCUUGAAACCCACAGGAGCCGAGCUUCCUCUCCUGAGCGUGAAGACAAACAAGACACAUGCGCUUCACGAGUCCACGGGAAAGACGUCAACUCUGCAGCACACAGAGGUCGAGUGUAUUCACCUCCAGACGAGCUCCAGACUGUGAACCUCCGAAACAUCGGAAAUCAUCAGGAGCCGGACGACACGCAAAACCAGGUCCGAACCAGGAAGUGACGAUGCUGUUGAAAGCUUUAUCGACACGA